GCCCCGGUGGCCUAGUGUUAAGAGCGUCCAGCUCGGAUACGGGAGGUCGCGGGUUCAAACCCCGGCCGAGUCA